UCAAUUGUGCCAUUAAUACUGGUUAACGGGAGUACAGACGAGGUAGGCGAAAUAAGUUAAGUAGCGGUGAAAUGCAUAGAUAUAACUUAGAACUCCGAUAGCGAAGGCAGCUUACCAGACUGUAACUGACGCUGAUGCACGAGAGCGUGGGUAGCGAACAGGAUUAGAUACCCUGGUAGUCCACGCCGUAAACGAUGCUCACUGGUUCUGUGCGAUAUAUUGUACGGGAUUAAGCGAAAGUAUUAAGUGAGCCACCUGGGGAGUACGUCGGCAACGAUGAAACUCAAAGGAAUUGACGGGGGCCCGCACAAGCGGAGGAACAUGUGGUUUAAUUCGAUGAUACGCGAGGAACCUUACCUGGGUUUAAAUGGGAAAUGCCGUAUUUGGAAACAGAUAUUCUCUUCGGAGCGUUUUUCAAGGUGCUGCAUGGUUGUCGUCAGCUCGUGCCGUGAGGUGUCGGGUUAAGUCCCAUAACGAGCGCAACCCUUACCGUUAGUUGCUAGCAUGUAAUGAUGAGCACUCUAACGGGACUGCCACCGUAAGGUGAGAGGAAGGCGGGGAUGACGUCAAAUCAGCACGGCCCUUACACCCAGGGCUACACACGUGUUACAAUGGCCGGUACAGAGGGCCGCUACCAGGUGACUGGAUGCCAAUCUCAAAAGCCGGUCGUAGUUCGGAUUGGAGUCUGUAACCCGACUCCAUGAAGUUGGAUUCGUUAGUAAUCGCGCAUCAGCCAUGGCGCGGUGAAUACGUUCCCGGGCCUUGUACACACCGCCCGUCAAGCCAUGGAAGCCGGGGGUGCCUGAAGUCCGUAACCGCGAGGAUCGGCCUAGGGCAAA
rnacentral:rRNA from 1 species